rnacentral:rRNA from 1 species
CAGCCGUAAACUAUGCGCGUUAGGUGUACUGGUGACCACGAGUCACCGGGGUGCCGAAGGGAAACCGUGAAACGUGCCGCCUGGGAAGUACGGUCGCAAGGCUGAAACUUAAAGGAAUUGGCGGGGGAGGCACCACAACGGGUGGGAGCCUGCGGUUUAAUUGGACUCAACGCCGGAAAUCUCACCGGAUAGGACAGACAUAUGAUAGUCGGGCUGAAGACUCUACUUGAUGAUCUGAGAGGUGGUGCAUGGCGUCAGUGACU